UGAGGGAGAGACAGACAGAGACAGAGACAGAGAUAUAGAUGGCGAUGGAAGGAGAGCGAGGGGGAGGGGUAGGGGUAGGUCUCGGUACUGUUGCUGCAGAUGGCUUUCAUAAGUGGGAGAGUCGGUAUGGUCAGAGAAUACCAUAUGGGUCGUCGGGAUUUCAGGGACACGGGGUAAGGGUCAUCAACAAACCCUACUGAGAGUGGGGUGUGCCGGUUCUUGCGCUGCAUGCCUCAAAUCCAAAGAUAAGUUCGUUUUUUAAAUUGGAUUUUUUAAUGGUAGGUUAGAUUUUCGAAUUGUUAAAGAGGGAGAGGGGGACAGCGCGAAAGAGAGAGAGGGAGAGGGAGGAGUAGGAGAGGGGGUACACUCAGAGAAAAGCAUAGGGGUCGUCGGGAUUUGAGGGAGAGAUGUUUUGCGGUGAAUUUCAACUUAUUUACAAAUUUGCCACAGGCUCUCUCUGCCGCUGAUCGUGAUGCACACGCGUUGAUGAUCGCGGGAAGGGAAUAACAAUGGUAAAGCAGGCCUUUUCCGUUCCUUCCCAAAGAGAUGGAAAGGGAGAUAAAGAUAGAGAGAGAGGAGAAAGCAUGGCUGUGUGUAUUUUUUGGAGUUAAUUAAUGGGUUAGUGCACACUGCACAGGGUCAGUGAGGAGAGAAUGACAGAGGGAUGUAUGGGAGGGUAUGGGUUUUCAGUUUUUUACUCUGAUUCAACAGGUUAUGCACUGUUUGAAAAUCAUUGUUUAUUGUUUUGUUUUCCAUUUACUUUGUUAAAACCAUAUUUCGAAUUUUUUGGUUUCACUGUGCUCAUUUCUGUGCUUCUUGAUAAUUUCCUGGUGUUUGCUUCUCAUCCCUCUGUUGGUAGAUUUUUUCCUCAUUUCUUGGUUCCUUAUGUAUUCCUUGGUACAAAUCUGUCUAAUUUUUGGCUGUGUGAUGAUCCUUGCAGGUGAGCUAUAUGAAUGUUGUUUUGAAACACAGAGCUUCAUCCACUUGAAUCUGCAAUUCAUAGCAGCAGGCUUGGGUUACCCUUGGUAGAGCACAGUUAAAUUUGGGGAGGCUGAUAGUGCCAUUCAAAGCUUCGACAGAGCAUUAGCCAUCAAGUGAAAACACAUACUAAAGCAACAAUGCUAUGGUGGUUGGAAUAAGCGUUCUCAGCUAUGUAUGGAUGCUUGAUAUGAAUUAGGUGACUGAUGUUGAAUCAGUCAAUAAAAAACAAAUAGGAUCUAAUAUAUUAUACAUUAAUCCAUACAUAAUGUUUUUGUUGUCCGCCCGGUAUCAAAGUUUGAUCAAAUCAGGUUGAAUUGAAUUAUCCUUGAAAUGACAAGAAGGAACGGACUAAGCAAGUUUUGCCCAAGCCAGCGAAAGAUUCAGGGGAACAGAGCUCACACUAUUAGAGAUAAUGAAAGGUAAGUUUGAAAGUAAAAGGGAUUGAAGUGGUGUCUGGUUAGAAGGAGAGAGAUCCACGGCAGUGGGCACGACCAUGGCCGCAGCCACGAAGAGGAGAGACUGUUGGCGACAUCGAAGCUUCUCAAGGAAUUGACCGAGGAAGAUGACAUGAAAUUACAGAUUUGGAUUUCAUCAGCACGGCCAUGAUCAUGAGCAUUUUGGUAGUUUGCAUCUCUAAGUUCUUGGAGUUUGUCAACGAGAGAAAGUUUGUGAACGAAAGAAAUCUAAUCGAGAGGUAUUUUCUUUUUGGCAGAUAUCAUGAAUUAUGUUUGGGUGUUUAAACAAUAUUUGCCUAAAAGUAUACUCUGUUUUUUAGUGCUAUUUCAAAUAAGGUAACGUCCCCAAACACUGAUAUUUUGGUUUUCUAUUGUUAUGUGUGAAACCAGCUUGAUUCGGGUUAUUAUAAGGUUGAGGGUUGCGGAUGGUUAAUCAUGUUCAAUAACCUUAGUUACAAGGACAUUCACUUAAAUUUUGGUUUCAAGUUGUAGAAAGACGGCUUUUCAUUCUUUCUUAAUAUAAGCUUUCAUUACAGCUUAGUUUCA